UAGGGAAUCUUCGGCAAUGGACGAAAGUCUGACCGAGCAACGCCGCGUGAGUGAAGAAGGUUUUCGGAUCGUAAAACUCUGUUGUUAGAGAAGAACAAGGACGUUAGUAACUGAACGUCCCCUGAUGGUAUCUAACCAGAAAGCCACGGCUAACUACGUGCCAGCAGCCGCGGUAAUACGUAGGUGGCAAGCGUUGUCCGGAUUUAUUGGGCGUAAAGCGAGCGCAGGCGGUUUCUUAAGUCUGAUGUGAAAGCCCCCGGCUCAACCGGGGAGGGUCAUUGGAAACUGGGAGACUUGAGUGCAGAAGAGGAGAGUGGAAUUCCAUGUGUAGCGGUGAAAUGCGUAGAUAUAUGGAGGAACACCAGUGGCGAAGGCGGCUCUCUGGUCUGUAACUGACGCUGAGGCUCGAAAGCGUGGUGAGCAAACAGG
rnacentral:rRNA from 1 species